AUUGAUUUGUGGAGGCAAAAAUAAACACUGAUUUACCAGAACAGAGCAGAAAUAAGCUUUUAAUUUAAAAGAGUAAAGAUGGACAGAUACAACAUGAACCCUUUAUUCUGCUAACGCAGCUGAACUGGGGAACAAGGAAGCUGUAACAACAAAAUAUCAUCACAAAUACAAAUAUAAAGGCUGAACCGCCAUUUGCUGCCCAACCUGCCAAUCAUAAUUAGCAGCAAACAAUCACAGCCUCCAUAUUCUGGGACUUCCUGAAGUGGCAGCGCCAGACAGGAGGACUGAGGACUAAACCGUUUCAUUAGCUUCAGCCAAUCAAAACCAGUGACAUCACAGAGGUGUUUCCUGUUGCUGCUGGGAGAGACCUGCUUCCUUCUUUGUGGUUUCAGUUGGUGUUUUAAAGCGUGAAGUUGUCUCUGCAGCAGCAGCAGCAACAUUGAACCCAUCAGGAAAAACAUCAACUGCAUCUCCUUUCCAUUCUCCAUGGCGAUGAUAUAGUAUGAUGAAGACGAAGCGCGCUGUGAACCAGGAACCUGUUUUGCAGUCAAACAUGAAGAUUUCCAUCUAAAAUGGUGAUAAAGCAGAAACGUAAUGACGGCGACACAAACGAGACUGAAUGCAUGACUGCUUCUUUCCAAGAUGAAGUGAUUAACCAUCAAACAUGAUUCAAACAAAGGAUCUAUUUAAACCAGGAAGUGGAUUCCUUGGUGAUCUUGUUCCUGGAGCAAAUGACUGGAAGUACAGAGGAAAAUCUUUUCAAAUCUUCCCAAAAGUUUCCUACUUGAAACAAAUGUGAGAUCAAUGAGGAAAUACCCAAAUUAAAAAUAGUGAGGAAACUUCAAA